rnacentral:misc_RNA from 1 species
UAUUGAAUAGCCUAUAAAUAAGAUGUAAUUGACGAGAUGUACUCGUUCUUGAUUUUAAUGAAAGUGUGAUUCUUCUUCUUCUCUCUGUUCUUAAUUUGUCUAUCUCUUAGUUCAGUAAAAUUCUUCUAUUAAAAGCACACUCAAGUUUACCUUUCUGUUAGGUAAUAUCAAUCAAAGGUUUUUUGUUUUGUAAUAUUGGAGUAUGCUAAUUUUGGAGGGGGAAAAAAUCUUAGGCGCCUAUGACAUAGAUAUGGAAUUAUUAUCUAUUGUCUCCCAUUACUACAUAAUACAAAUCCUGUUGCAACUAAACUAAUGAUAAAUCCCCUGAGUUCCUACUGCCAACAAAACCCUUGGACCAGUACAUUUUGAUUUUUGUGACUAUUCACACGUGCAUUGGGAGGCAUUUUAUGUGCUAAGAAGCUUUUGUAUAAAUCAUUGUUUCUCAUAUAACAUGAAUUAUAUUGAUAACAUCACAUUUCUUUAUGAAACAGAAAAGAUUUCAAUCCUUUAUGCAGGAAUGGUCUUAUAUUCCAGUUG